rnacentral:lncRNA from 1 species
AUUAAAUAUAAUAGAAUAUAACUAAUUAAAUUCGAUUUACAUAAUUCCAAAUUACCUAAAUUAAUAGUUUAAAAAUUCUAAUCUAAAAUUACCUUUUUUAAUCUUAUAUCGAAUCUAAUCUAAUCUAUUUUAUAUUUAAGUUUCCUAAUUUGAUUUAGUUUAAUCUACUAAUGUAAUCUAGAAUUACUUAAGUUGUUCUAUUCCAAUCUAGAAUUUGUAAAUUAGCAUAAAUAUAAAAUAAUUUUGAUUUAGUAUUAUUAGAUAUAUUAGAAUAUAUAGUUGAUUAUAGUAGAUUAUAUAGCCAAUUUAAUUUGACAAUACCAUAAAUAUCUAUACUAAAAUUGUCAAAUAAAUCUUGUAUCUGCAGAUGACAAUAUGCUAUAUAAUCCACCGCUACGAU